AUAAACACAAGAUAUCUCAC
rnacentral:snRNA from 1 species